UUGGUGCCUUCGGGAACUCUGACACAGGUGCUGCAUGGCUGUCGUCAGCUCGUGUCGUGAGAUGGUUGGGUUAAGUCCCGUAACGAGCGCAACCCUUGUCCUUAGUUACCAGCACGUUAUGGUGGGCACUCUAAGGAGACUGCCGGUGACAAACCGGAGGAAGGUGGGGAUGACGUCAAGUCAUCAUGGCCCUUACGGCCUGGGCUACACACGUGCUACAAUGGUCGGUACAAAGGGUUGCCAAGCCGCGAGGUGGAGCUAAUCCCAUAAAACCGAUCGUAGUCCGGAUCGCAGUCUGCAACUCGACUGCGUGAAGUCGGAAUCGCUAGUAAUCGUGAAUCAGAAUGUCACGGUGAAUACGUUCCCGGGCCUU
rnacentral:rRNA from 1 species